ACGCUCGACACCUACGGGAGGCAGCAGUGGGGAAUAUUGGGCAAUGGGCGCAAGCCUGACCCAGCAACGCCGCGUGAAGGAAGAAGGCUUUCGGGUUGUAAACUUCUUUUGUCAGGGAACAGUAGAAGAGGGUACCUGACGAAUAAGCCACGGCUAACUACGUGCCACAGCCGCGGUAAUCUGAGCGGGCUGGCAAGGC
rnacentral:rRNA from 1 species